GACGAACGCUGGCGGCGUGCUUAACACAUGCAAGUCGAACGGAAAGGCCCUACUUUUGUGGGGUACUCGAGUGGCGAACGGGUGAGUAACACGUGGGUAACCUGCCCUUGACUUUGGGAUAACUUCAGGAAACUGGGUCUAAUACCGGAUAGGAGCUCCUGCUGCGUGUGGGGGGGUAGAGAGUUUGGGCGGUUGGGGAUGGUCUCGCGGCUUAUCAGCUUGUUGGUGGGGUAGUGGCUUACCAAGGCGUUGACGGGUAGCCGGCCUGAGAGGGUGACCGGCCACAUUGGGACUGAGAUACGGCCCAGACUCCUACGGGAGGCAGCAGUGGGGAAUAUUGCACAAUGGGCGGAAGCCUGAUGCAGCAACGCCGCGUGCGGGAUGACGGCCUUCGGGUUGUAAACCGCUUUCGCCUGGGACGAAGCGUGAGUGACGGUAACGGGUAAAGAAGCACCGGCUAACUACGUG
rnacentral:rRNA from 1 species